AACGCUAGCUACAGGCUUAACACAUGCAAGUCGAGGGGAAACGACAGUAAAGCUUGCUUUAUUGGGCGUCGACCGGCGCACGGGUGCGUAACGCGUAUCCAACCUGCCCCCAACUCCGGAAUAGUCCCCCGAAAGGGGGGUUAACGCCGGAUGCUGCAAUUUUUCCGCAUGGUGAAAUUGCGAAAUGAAAAAGGUUGGGGCUGGGGAUGCGUCCCAUUAGGUAGUAGGCGGGGUAACGGCCCACCAAGGCGACGAUCAGUAGGGGUUCUGAGAGGAAGGUCCCCCACAUUGGAACUGAGACACGGUCCAAACUCCUACGGGAGGCAGCAGUGAGGAAUAUUGGUCAAUGGACGAGAGUCUGAACCAGCCAAGUAGCGUGCAGGAUGACGGCCCUAUGGGUUGUAAACUGCUUUUAUGCGGGGAUAAAGUUGGGGACGUGUCCCUUUUUGCAGGUACCGCAUGAAUAAGGACCGGCUAAUUCCGUGCCGGCAGCCGCGGUAAUACGGAAGGUCCGGGCGUUAUCCGGAUUUAUUGGGUUUAAAGGGAGCGUAGGCCGGCUUUUAAGCGUGUUGUGAAAUGCCGCGGCUCAACCGUGGCACUGCGGCGCGAACUGGAGGCCUUGAGUGCGCGGGAGGUAGGCGGAAUUCGUGGUGUAGCGGUGAAAUGCUUAGAUAUCACGAAGAACUCCGAUUG
rnacentral:rRNA from 1 species